CUCUGGGCUUUGGAGAAGUCAUAGGAAUCACAGAGGAAAAAGAGAAAAGGAAGUCAUUCUCUCCCUGCCAAGACUCAGGGGACAGAAAGCAAGGAAGGAAUCAGGCUGGAAGAAAACCAUUGCAACAGAGAGGCUGCAUAGGUCAUCAAAGAGCUGGAAGCCAAGCACCCUCCUCCAUGUUCUUUCUACUGUACCACGUGGCUUGUGUCGAUACAGACCCUUGGGCUGGACCAAUCCUGGAAGAUCAAGAGCUGACUGACGAGAAAGCUGAGGCACGGAGACCAUAAGCAAUGUUUCCAAAGUCGCACGGUUGGUUAUGAUGAAUUUUAAGAAGUUUGAAAACCACUUCUCUGAAGCAGGAGGCUUCUGUCCAGGAGGAGGACGUUGCAGAUGAGUAGGCCUUUGUUAGCUUCUACUCCACCAAAGAGCCUUUGCAAACAUGCAGAUGAGAAUCUCAACCUCCUGCCUCCCGCCUCCAACCUCCACCAGGCCCCACUCCCUUGCAUUCUUUGAUAUGGCCAAUCUACGUAUUUUUAUUUUUAAAUUAUUAUGUCAAUAGUUUUUGGGGAACAAGUGGUGUUCGGUUGUAUAAAUUCUUUAGUAGUGCUUUCUGAGAUUUUGGUGCACCCAGCACCCAAGCAGUGGAUACUCUGCCUAAUGUGUAGGGUUUUUAUUUUUUAAUUUUUUGACAGUCUCACUCUGUCGCUCAGUCUGGGGUGCAGUGGCAUGAUCUCAGCUCACUGCAACCUCCGCCUCCCAGGUUCAAGCAAGUCUCCUGACUCAGCCUCCCAAGUGGCUGGGAUUACAGGCGUAUACUACCACACCCAGCUAAUUUUUUUUACUUUUAGUAGGGACAGGGUUUCAACAUGUUGGCCAGGCUGGUCUCGAACUCCUGACCUCAGGUGAACUGCUCGCCUCGGCCUCUGAAAGUGCUGGGAUUACAGGCACAGCCACUGUGCCUGGCCCCAUUGUGUAUCUUUUAUCCCUCACUUCCCUCCCACCUCUUCCUCCAAGUCCCCAGAGUCCAUUAUAUAAUUUUUACACCUUUGCAUCCUCAUAGCAUAGCUUGCACUUUAACUGAGAGCAUAGGAUGUUUGGUUUUCCAUUCCUGAGUUACUUCAUUUAGAAUGGCCUGCAACUCCAUCCAAGUUGCUGCAAAUGCCAUUAUCUCAUUCCUGUUCAUGGCUGAGAAGUAUUCUAUGGUAUAUAUACCACAUUUUCUUUACUCAUUGGUUAAUGGGCAUUUAGGCUGGUUCCAUGUUUUUGCAAUUGUGAAUUGUGCUGCUAUAAACACGCAUGUGCCAGUGUCUUUUCCAUAGAAUGACUUCUUUUCCUUUCAGUAAACACCCAGGAUUGGGAUUGCUGGAUCAAAUGGUUUGGAGAUUCCUUAAAGAACUAAAAGUGGAACUACAAUUUAUGUAUUUUUCAAUCAUCCAAUCCCCUCUUCUACCAACACCUCAAUACCUAUGUUAUGCCUCUGCAGAAAUUCUGGAGCCCUCACCAAGCUAAACAAAGACUGAGAUGCAAAAAUCAUGGGAUGGGCAGAGGGAGAGUCAAGGAGGGCCUCCCAGGCAAAUCUAGAACAUUGGGAAAAUAGGGUUAGUUACAUUACUUAAUAAUACACACAUUUUCAAGGCACAACUGGAGUACGAGUUCUCUUCCAAAUGAUGGGCAUGUAAAUUUGGACUAGCUGUUUUUCCUCCAUUAAAUGAGCCUUCCUUGACAACUCUGCUGGCCUAUCAAGUAGGUGCCCGUGAAAAAUGAGGUAUCUUUGGGGCAUUUAGACUCUCCCUGCUGAGCCUCCUGCAUGGGGCAGCAGUGAUCGUCUUUGGCUGAAACUGUCCUGGGCCUAGAGAGUGGUGAGGGGUAGAAAGGGAGAGUUAUAUUGGGACACUGUUUACAAGAGGUUCUAGAACCCAUCAUAAGGGAGAAAACAACGGAAUUGGCCAGGGACUUACAUUGGAAAGGGAUGAACCAGCAUCCUUGCAGUCAUUUCUUCAGAUAUUUAUCCAUAUUUUUGUUGGUUGCAGCCCAACAAGGAAUUAAGAGCCCAGCUCUCUGAGGGGCUGGGGGACAUAACAGGGGAGUGUGACACUGUCUAGGGAGUUAAGAGUCACACAUAAUGGGGUGAUUGCAAACUUUUACGAUUGGACGGUUGGCAAAGGUCAUUGAAGGCACAGUCAAGCUGUGGGCUGGAUCUUGGAAGAGGAGGAAUAUCUGAGAGCAAAUGAAAUCACAAGAAUCACAAGGACAAACUCCUGAAUGCAAUCAAGCUAAGGCAGGGGUCUCCACCUUGGCUGCAGAGCAGAAUCACCUGGGGAGCUUUAAAACCUAUAAACCACAGUCUCAGGGACUGGGGCCUGGGCACGGGGAUUUAUUCCAGGUGAUUCUAAUGUGCAACCAAGGUUGAAAACCAGCUGGGUUAAGGAGAGUUUGGGAAGCCUAGGAGUGAAAUGUUGGCGCAACACACACCCUUCUGGAUUCUAGCUUAAAAGCAAUGCCCCUGCAGAUCGGGAUCUAGCUUGCCCCCACAAUGAGAAGGGGGAACUUAUCCCUAUCUGCAGGGCAAGGACAAGGUAGGCAGGGACGAGGGUAUCCAUAGGAGGGCAAGAAAAGACCCAGGAGGGAGAGGGCUACCCGUCCAGCUGCAAUGCCUCACCCUCUCAUCUCUGUGCCCGUCUUGAGUCUGAUCAAUAGGUCUGCAGGUAGGAGUCAUGGAAACAGGCAGGGUGCCAGACACAGAGGGCGGGAAGAAGGAAGGGAGCCUUGCUUUAUUAAAUUUCAAUUUACAGAGUGCUGGCUUUGACAUCCAGAAUGUGUAUUAGAAAUGGGCUCUUUUCCCUCUUUUUCAAAGAACGAGCUGCAGGCCUCUCUGCAGACAGGCAGGCUGAUUUAAGGGUUUGGUUAUUGGUCAUUAACCCCUUGACACAGAAGUUCGCUACAGUGCUGAGGGCCACAGUGCACUGAUGCUAAAUCAGAAAUGAAGGAGAGUCAUUUCCAGAAUGAUCUUAUGUUCAUCAACCACAGCACGAGGUCCACGUGAGGAAUGGGAAGCAUUUAUAAGCACCAUUCUCCAUUAGUGUGACGACAUACAUGUGUAAGGCUGGGUUUCUAGCUCAGGGCUUCCUCUGUGAACCCAUUUCCCUGGUGGAGCGGGAACAAGUGAGGCUGAGCACAGGCACACGAAUCCCUCAGCUCUUUGGGGAGAAGUUUGUAGCUGGAACUCAGCCCAUCAGUGAGGAGUCGAUCCCAUUCAAUUCAACAAACACCCUCUUUGCCUCUCGGGUGCCAGGGCUGGCCUGGGCAUUGGGAAAGCAGAGGGAAGAGCGGGAGCCCCUCCCUCAGGGACUAUCAGCCUGGCGGAGAGACAGACAUGCAGGAGGAUGGGUAGAAUAUACUCAUGGCCAGGCUUAUAACAGAUGAGUGGGCAGUGUGCUGGGGUGCCCCAGAGCUGGAGUAACAGUCUCUACCUGGGGCUGUCAGUGAGUAAUGAGUCUAAAGACAACAGCCUAAAGAGAGAGUAGUUUGCCCAAAUGUUUGUCAAGGACAAGGGACUUCUAGCAGAGGAAACAGGCAAACACAAGCCACAGACGCUUGACAGUACAAUGCCAUUUGAAAAAUGAUAGUGCCAAUGGGAUGAGGUGGGGAGGAGACUGGGUAGCACCCCGCUGGUCCCCAGGGAGCUGUGAUUCAGAUCAGUAAGUGCCCCCACUUGUUAGCACAUCUGAGGGGCUCUAAGAGUCUUCUGACUCAAAAACGUCCAAGGAGCCUGGAAGCAAGCUUGGCCUGGAGGUGCCUUGGUGUGGUUGAGUACAAGACAAAGAAUGGGUGCCCCAUUUUACUGGGAUUGCUGGUGAAGUCUCUCUUUUUCUGCAGCCUCUGGGUGUGUCUCUAGGGACCAGGGCUUGCAAACUCUCCUGAUCUAGGCCUUAGCCCCUCAUCCAGAUUCUUCUGCCACUGCUCCUCCCUUUCCUCCUCCUGCCCUCUGCCUGCACCCCCCAGACCAGCCUGGCUGCCUGGGACAGGCUUCUGCAUCAGUGGCUUUCUCCAGCAAAGUGCCUUGACACAGAUGGGAGCUGCAAACAAAAGCCACAUCAAGCAGAAACACGCUGCCAUGGGACAGAUCACAGAGGAGGCACAAUCAAUAGCAAUGGCCAGGGUGGUAGGCCAGGCCUCAGCGGUUGAAGAAUUGGGCUUGGCUCAGGGAAAGGAUAUGCGCAGGAUGCGUGCUGCUGGCAGAACAAAAUCAGAGACAGCAAAGAGCCGCAAAGGGCAUGGGGAGCGACAUCGCACUCGGAUAUCUCAAGUGCUCUGGAGACGCAGUCAUUGCACUCAGCCUUAAAAGGCAGAGAGACUGACAGCCCUCAGUGGCUGUCCUUCAAAACACACCUGGCCCAUCAGCAACCCUUGAGAAGACCAUCAUCAGAUGUGGAACAUAGCAAGGAUGUGGUGACAAUCCCCCUCGGGGCUCAGCCUCUCCUGGAUAUAGGACAAAGCUCGAGUGACUCCUGGAAAACCCAUCCCAUUCACUUUGACAGCAUAACCUGGUGUCAGCCCUGUUUGUGGCUAUAGCAGAUACUGUUAGUGCCUCACCCAUGCAUCUGGGCACUCCCCAGCCCUGGCCAUGUGAACAACCUCCUCUAUUGGCCCCUGCUGCCCUCUGCCUGGGGGACUUUUCUGGCUGCAGGAGCUUGCCUUGCCUGUACCUAGCUCCAGGAGCAGCCCCCAACCAAUGGUGGAUGGAAGCUGGUGGACAAAUAACACAUCCUUCUUGCUUCUUGGGCUAAUUUGGAGAUAUAUUCCCUACAGGCCUCCAGAAAUCCCCAGCAGCACUGGCACCAGCAGCCCCCCACUGCUAACCUGUGCAUUCACAUGACAUGAAUUGACCUUUCUUUCUCCCUUGGCUCAUGUUUCCACUGCCUUACUAAUGCUUCUAGAACUGCCUUUCAGAUACAUUACUUGUCACAAACCCUUGUCUCAGGAUCUGCUUCUAGAGAAACCUGACUCAAGACAAUGCUGGCCCAUGGCUAGCUAUACCUGUGGCCAUUAUGUCCAGGUCCUCAGCACUGAUACUAGAUAGAGGCUGAGCCCAAGCCUGUCACUGUACUUGGGCCCUAGCGCAACCUCAGUCAGCAGUGGGGCUCAUACACACCAGACUUGGUGCUCCUGAGCCUUCUGGGGACUCCACAUCUGACAGGCCACCUUUCAGUGCAGCAGCCAUGAUGACACCUGAGGUCCCUGCAAGGCAGACCUGGGGCUCUGAGGAACAGCUGCACCCUUCUGACCUGGGACUGUUUAUGGGACACCAUCACACAAACUUAUCUUGCCAAUCCUUCUCUGUAGGCCAUGAGGUCAUCCCGGAGACAAGGGACCUUUGGUGAAAAGCACAUUUCAUCCUCGCUUUGACCCUCAGGAAGUACCUGCCUCUGGUAAUCUAGCACACACCCCUUGGAGGGGCUGCCUGGCUGACAGUGACCCAUUUCCUCUGAAGAUGGCUCUGUCCAGGGCUUGGCCCAAAUGGUCUAUGCUCUGGGACUCUGCCACCCUGACCAUCAGUGAGAAUGGAGCUGUUACAAAGAGCCAAGUAGACUUCUCCCAGGAAUUUAAAACCUGAAAAGGAAAAGACACAGACAAAGUAGCCCUGAAGCUAAGACACAUUUAGGGCAACUCUCUAGGGAAGACCCAUAAACUUUUACUGCUGAGGCCCCUGGAGCUGUCCUAGUUCCUGCCUUUCCCGGUCAACCUUUCCUCUGAGUCUAUAAAAAGGAAUCACCCCAGGUUUUCUCUAAUAACAUUCACCCUUUGUCUUUACCUUAAGCUACCCAAAUUUGUUUUAUUUGUUGUUGAUAAUGACCCCCUCCCUUCAAAUUAACAAAUACAGUUAGCUUGUUCAUUAGUAAGUUCUCUAUGUUCAAGAAAUCUCAAACACCAGAUAUCUGACUACUGGGCCCUAUUUUGGAAGGUAAUGCUCAAAACACUUCAUAGCUGUGUCUGCUUGUCUGCUAUAAGCUGUGCCUACUCAAUCACAAACAGCAAAGAGGGUGCAUAUCCUAUGCACUGAGGAAUACUUCCCCUGACACUCUUCACAAACAACAGUCUGCCUACUCUGCAUCAGCUUGUGACAGUCAAUUCAUACUUCUUAAAUACAGAUUGAUUUGUUGUUCGAAAUAGUCUCUGCCCUCUCCUAUGAUGCUUCUUCCUGUAUUCCCCUCCCUACUGAGCUAUCGUACAUCACCAGAUCAUUAAUGCCAGACAUGGCCACGUUUCUAGCUGGAACGUGAGCGGGAGUGACAGACGUCAUUCCCAAUCAGAAGCUUCAGGAGCAAUCAUGUGAUACACUGUCUUUUUGUUCUCUGCCACUGGACCUGCAGCAUCCUGGAAAGGAGCUGCCCCUUUGGCCCUAGAAAAAGUUGAGAUGACAGAGCUGAAGCUGAAUGAUGACAACCGAGGAGCAUGAGUAAGAAAUAAACACAUCUUGUUGUAAGCCACUGAGAUGUGCGGACAUCAGCCUAAGAUGACUGAUAAAGAAACCGACACUAGAGGAGGGGUACUGCCAAGCCUUAAAAUAUGGGCACUGACUUUAAGGCCAGAGGUAGGUGAUGAGUAAACCACCACUGGAGGCUGGAAAGAUGGUGACCUCAUCUAUGCAACGAAGAGACGGUUGGUGAAAUACCUUGGUAAGAUACAAAUAUCUUAGUUGGCCUGCAAUAUCUUGGUAGACUGCUAAUGUUGCAAGUGAGCCCAUGCUUAGAUGCAGAGUGUGCCUUUUUAGUAUCAGCUGCUUUUGACAAGAUUCUGCAAAAGAGAGAUAAGGUCAGGGAAGAAACAGACACGCAGUAGGGCCCAGUAAGCCAUUGAGAUUUUGAGGUCAUACAUUACUGGAGCAUAAGGAAGACUGAACUGAUGGACAGGUUCCUCCCCAAAUAAUCACACCAAAAUAGAACUUCUAAAUGCAAUGCAUGCUCUUAAGGAAAAGUACAAGAAACUUUGAACAUAUAUACCAA
rnacentral:lncRNA from 1 species